rnacentral:rRNA from 1 species
AGUGAACGCUGGCGGUAGGCCUAACACAUGCAAGUCGAACGGCAGCACAGUAAGAGCUUGCUCUUACGGGUGGCGAGUGGCGGACGGGUGAGGAAUACAUCGGAAUCUACUUUUUCGUGGGGGAUAACGUAGGGAAACUUACGCCAAUACCGCAUACGACCUACGGGUGAAAGCAGGGGAUCUUCGGACCUUGCGCGAUUGAAUGAGCCGAUGUCGGAUUAGCUAGUUGGCGGGGUAAAGGCCCACCAAGGCGACGAUCCGUAGCUGGUCUGAGAGGAUGAUCAGCCACACUGGAACUGAGACACGGUCCAGACUCCUACGGGAGGCAGCAGUGGGGAAUAUUGGACAAUGGGCGCAAGCCUGAUCCAGCCAUACCGCGUGGGUGAAGAAGGCCUUCGGGUUGUAAAGCCCUUUUGUUGGGAAAGAAAAGCAGCAGGUUAAUACCCCGCUGUUCUGACGGUACCCAAAGAACAAGCACCGGCUAACUUCGUG